rnacentral:rRNA from 1 species
AUGAAGAGCCUGUUAAGCCGUCAGAUCAAAACCAACAGCUGCCAGGAGAAGAACAGCUGCUGUGAGACGGAGGCGCUGGACUGUAACCAGCCGGCACGUUCUUCAGAUUCAGUUAUCCUCUGGGACGACACGGAGGGCAAGAUUAGUCCGUCAGCCACCUUGGAUGACGCAGGUUCAGAUCGUACCCGCAGCGCAUCUCCUCCUCCCCACAGCCAUGUUUCUGCUGCUGCUGCUGCCACGGAUGAUGGCAUUGCCGUCGACUCCCCUGCAGCUUGCCUGCCUAUUGCUCCGGUGGCCGCGCCGAGGGUCCCUUGCGAAGCGUGGUGGAAGAAGACCUUCUCGUUUCUCCUUGGCAACGCCACAGAGUCUCUCACCUUCCGUUUCGUAUUUGUCGCCGACAAGCUGCAGCUCAGGCUUGAAUUCGGUGUCGACGGCCAGGAUUCUCAACAACAACAAAAAAUGCUACAUCAUACUGUUAAGAUAAGCUUCCCGGCGAGCAAGACACUUGGUCAGUAUGCUGAUGAUGAUGACAACAACGAGAAAACAAGUAUGGCAGCUAAGAUGUUGAUGAUGAUGACUACCCUUAUAUUUUCCAGACCGCUCUUCAGAUGCAAGUUCCAACUAGCUGUUUAUGGCUGUGUUCGGCAAUCGCCCGCUCCUUCACCAGGGAGUGGAGCAUGCGGAGCUACCUGUUGGCCGCUCCCCAAAUUUGUACUGUAUGCCACUCAGCUCCGCAGAGGAGUCACGGAGCGGAGGGAUUCCGAACGGAGCCUAUAUAUCAUCGUGCUCCUUUGA